rnacentral:sRNA from 1 species
UCCUGGUCGCAGUAGUGACGUGAGGCAGC